UACGGAGGGUGCGAGCGUUGUCCGGAAUCACUGGGCGUAAAGGGCGCGUAGGCGGCGCGAGUAGUCAACGGUGAAAGCCCGGGGCUCAACCCCGGGUCGGCCGUCGAUACUCUCGUGCUUGAGCACUGUAGAGGCAGGUGGAAUUCCGGGUGUAGCGGUGGAAUGCGUAGAGAUCCGGAAGAACACCGGUGGCGAAGGCGGCAUCCUGGACCGACACUGACACUGAGGAGCGAAAGCCAGGGGAGCAAACGGG
rnacentral:rRNA from 1 species